UCCCCCACUGCUACAAGAGCCCCAUCAGGCUCUGGUGAUGCAGGAAGGAUGAUUUCUUCCAGCCUUCCCCCAACUGCUCCUGACCCUCACCCCUGUGGACUGGAAUCUGUUCUCACUAUUUCUGUCCUCUUGACUGCUGGGAAGGGACCUCUGGGAGGGCAUUGACCCAUGGCCUAACUUUGUACCCCUUUUGCCCUGGAAUGCCCCCAUGCCCACUUCUCUACACAGCCACACACAGAGACUGCUGAGCACGUGUUAGCCUGCCUGUCUGACUCCUCACAUUCACCCUAGCCUAGGAAGUAAAUAUGGCCAUUUAUUCCCAUUUUACAGGUGGGAAAACCACAGCCCACAGAGACACUGCCUUCCCAGCCCAGAUCACAGCACCAGAAAGAUGGAUCCCAGGAAGAACCUGACUGUCAAAAUGAUGGACUCAGGAAAUCCAGGGUCAGGCAGGACCAGAAGGAUUUAAUGCAGAGUUUUACCAGACCUUCAGACCUUCAGAGAAGAAUGGACAUGAAUAUUCUUCAUUAAAU